AAACCAUGCAUCAGACACUUUCGCAUCAAAUCUUUAAACCUCUCUCAUGCUUCAUUCAAGUUCUCAUCCUCCAUUUGCUAGAAAGAUGUGAUGUCAUUCCUCAAUCU